rnacentral:rRNA from 1 species
AACCCUGAUGCAGCUAUACCGUGUGUGUGAAGAAGGCCUUAGGGUUGUAAAGCACUUUCAAUGGGGAAGAAUUUAAUAUUGCUAAUAUCGAUAUUAAUUGACGUUACCUAUAUAAGAAGCACCGGCUAACUCCGUGCCAGCAGCCGCGGUAAUACGGAGGGUGCAAGCGUUAAUCGGAGUUACUGGGCGUAAAGAGUACGUAGGUGGUUUGUUAAGUCAGAUGUGAAAUCCCUGAGCUUAACUUAGGAACUGCAUUUGAAACUAAUAAACUAGAGUUUCGUAGAGGGGGGUAGAAUUCCAGGUGUAGCGGUGAAAUGCGUAGAGAUCUGGAGGAAUACCAGUGGCGAAGGCGACCCCCUGGACGGAAACUGAUACUCAGGUACGAAAGCAUGGGGAGCAAACAGGAUUAGAUACCCUGGUAGUCCAUGCCGUAAACGAUGUCGAUUUGAA